rnacentral:rRNA from 1 species
CAGUAGCCGCGGUAAUACGUAGGGUGCAAGCGUUAAUCGGAAUUACUGGGCGUAAAGCGUGCGCAGGCGGUUUGUUAAGACAGAUGUGAAAUCCCCGGGCUCAACCUGGGAACUGCAUUUGUGACUGGCAAGCUAGAGUCUGGCAGAGGGGGGUGGAAUUCCGCGUGUAGCAGUGAAAUGCGUAGAGAUGUGGAGGAAUACCGAUGGCGAAGGCAGCCCCCUGGGCCAAUACUGACGCUCAUGCACGAAAGCGUGGGGAGCAAACAGGAUUAGAUACCCCUGUAGUCCCUGUCUCUUAUAC